CCGUAUCACGUUGAAACACCGGUUCAUCUACGAGCACCGAAGUUAAACAACGUCGCGCCUGGUCAGUACCUGGAUGGGUGACUGCUUGGGAACACUAGGCGCUGUAAG